UACGUAGGCAGCGAGCGUCGUUCGGAAUUACUGGGCGUAAAGAGUGUGUAGGCGGUGUUCCCAGUCUGUUGUGAAAUCUCCCGGCUUAACUGGGAGGGUGCAGCGGAAACUAGAAUGCUAGAGGGUGGGAGAGGUAAGCGGAAUUCCUGGUGUAGCGGUGAAAUGCGUAGAUAUCAGGAGGAACACCUGUGGUGUAGACAGCUUACUGGACCACUUCUGACGCUGAGACACGAAAGCGUGGGUAGCAAACAGG
rnacentral:rRNA from 1 species